AACGAACGCUGGCGGCAGGCUUAACACAUGCAAGUCGAACGGGUGUAGCAAUACAUCAGUGGCAGACGGGUGAGUAACACGUGGGAACCUUCCUAGGGGUACGGAACAACUCAGGGAAACUUGAGCUAAUACCGUAUACGUCCGUGAGGAGAAAGAUUUAUCGCCCUUAGACGGGCCCGCGUCGGAUUAGCUAGUUGGUGGGGUAACGGCCUACCAAGGCGACGAUCCGUAGCUGAUCUUAGAGGAUGAUCAGCCACACUGGGACUGAGACACGGCCCAGACUCCUACGGGAGGCAGCAGUGGGGAAUCUUGGACAAUGGGCGCAAGCCUGAUCCAGCCAUGCCGCGUGAGUGAAGAAGGUCUUCGGAUUGUAAAGCUCUUUUGCCAGGGACGAUAAUGACGGUACCUGGAGAAUAAGCCCCGGCAAAUUUCGUGCCAGCAGCGGCCGUAA
rnacentral:rRNA from 1 species